CAGCUCUGGUUUCUCUUAAGUCAUGGCUAAAUCUUUCGCCUUUUACUAAAGAUUUCUGUGGAGAGGAAUAUUAAUAAGUUUCAUUUAUUUUUGUGAGUUUUGCUCUGGCAAAGCU